rfam:Oryza meridionalis cultivar OR44 (W2112) chromosome 10, whole genome shotgun sequence.
AACCACACUAUUAAUGAAUAGAUUCACCCGCGAGAUGACGUGACUGUUUCACCUAAGACGAAGACAUGGCAUUCUAUUACCAGCUAUCGCACGAAAUUAAUAGGAUGCCACGUCCUCAUUUAUUCUAAAUGGAACGACCACGUCAUAUCACGGGUGAAUCCAUUCAUCGAUAGUGUGGUU